CAGCUGCUGGAUAGAGGGACUUUCCCAGCUGCGAGAUAAAUGACGGGAAUCUUGUCUGAUACUUUUCUGAGUUUGCUGUAAAAGUUGAACAGCUGAGCUGGUUUCAGGUGGGAUCUUUGUCCCAGCAGGUGUUAGAGCAGCGGAGGCCUCGUUAACCUAACUAUCAUGUUGCUACUUGAAGGACUGUGAGCACCUGGGGACAGGUGUCCAAUCAGCUGACAGGAAAGGUGACUCGUGUUUGCGCAUAUACUGUCGGUAACGUCAGUAGUGGAACCUCUGUGACCGCGCGCUUUGUUGCUGCCCGGACCAGACUGCAGACGCACCGUUGCUAUUGGUUUCAACGGAAGCUCCAGACGCUCUGCGGCUAAAGGCUAACCAUGGUAACGUCAGCUGGGCUGAAACGUCACAGUUUAUAUUCUGACGUUUUCAGCUUCGGCGUGUAUUGACGUCAUCGUCGCUGGGAGCUCGUGCUGUGACCUGAUCUCUGAGGAGCUAACUGAGGCUAAGAUCUAGCAGCGGGAUUAGCCGGAGGCUGCGGCGUCAGCAGUCUGAGCAGGAGCUUCUUAGCCGCUCGGCCAGCGGAGCUCAGUCCGGGAUGAGGCGCUGCAGCCGGCGGGGACGACAGCAGGAAGGCGGCCAAGCUGAUGGAGGUGUGAGGUUAUGACGGGGUCAGACUGUGUCCUGAGACGGUCCAAUCUGGACCGAGUUGCACUGGUCCUUGGAGCGCCGACGCCAUGUCGGACACGUCUGAUCCGGCUGUCGUAGAGGGACGGGCUCCUCGCUGUCCCCCUCGGCCCCCCCUGGCAGAGAAGGCGCUGUCCGAGGCCUUCGGGCGGCUGCGGUAUCGUGACACGUCACUGCUCAUCUGGCAGCAGCAGCAGCUUGAAGCAGCACCGCCCUCCACCUACCUGAGCCGCAGCCAAUCGGCCUGGUACAGUAACUAUGGCAACCAGGCAGUGCUGGUCCGAGACAGGAGGGGUGCGGACGAGGGGCGGUCCCGGAUCUGCAGCAUCAUGUAGACGCAAACGGGAGAAGUUUAGUUUGGGCGCUAAAAAACAGGGUUUUUUUAAUUUAGAGAUCUGUCCAAACAGAGAGAAGCAUUAAGAUCCACGCCCCCGUCCCUCCCCUCCCUCACCCACAGACUGCAGACAGGAAAAAAACAAACAGUAUUAAUCGUCAGCUUAGCGAGCUCCAGCGUCAGCUCUGAUGAUCAGUUUAAUGGACUUCCUGCCCCACAGGGGGUGCCCUGUGUCAGUAUCCUUAACCCUAGUGUCCUCCAUUUUGAUUUGGGGAAUGAAGCCAGCAGCACCACACUGAAACCAUCACCUUCAUCCAGCAUGCCACCAAAUGACAUUGUCCUGUUUGAAACCCUUAAGUGACCAAUCAGCACGCAGUUACAGCACACUGGUGCUUUCUGGGUAAAAUCAUUGUCACUGAGAGAAAUUGAAGGUAACGAGCAUUCAGACGUGUUACUGAUUUAUGGAAACGACGAAUAAAAUGUUAUCUUGUUUUAGCUUUGUCAUUCUUACUCAGUGAAGACUGUCUGAGAGCGCCCCCUAAUGUCAGGCCAGUGAAACUGAUAUACAAACAACAAACACCGUUCCACCAGGACGUCCGUUUUUCUGCAUGAUGAAGAAAUAUUACUGCAGUAAAUCAAAGAUUCUCUGAGCUAAUAACUGUGUUCAGACUGUGAUGAUCAAACAUCUGCUGUAACUCAGAAAACCUUUUCUUUCACAUAAGGACUUUGGUGUGGUUUGAAGCAGCAGGAAAUUAAACUCAUGAAGAAGUCCAGAAUUUGAGCCUCCCUUCACAAUUUCCCAUUCUGGCCCUCGAGCCUUAUAUUGGAGCCGGGCUUGUGUGUGUGGUGACUGUUUAUUAGUUUAGAAUUAGCUGCAUGUCGACUCUCCGGUGUGUCACGAGGGAGCAGCGGGCUCGGCUCGGCCCCGCCCACUCGGUGCAGUCCACGACGACGUCCAGCGCCAGAGCACGCCUCAGGUGGCCCUCCGAGGACUGCUCUCACUUCAUACGUUCAUCCGUUAGAGCGCACUCGGUGACAAAAGGUCGGAGCCGCUUGUUUUCAGUUUAUGUGUUUAUUUAUGAAAACAAAUGAACUCAGAAAAUAAGGAUCCCAUAUCAGUAAUUACAUCAAAUAAUUCACUUGUUGUUUCGUCCCCUCUGCGUCUCUACGAGUGGAGCUCGCUCUAACCUCAGAUGGCUACUUUACAGCUACUAUACAGCGCUCAAACAUACGCGAGAAAAACGUACGGCCGGAGUGCAUGCAAUACAUAAAACCACUGUUUCCUUUUCUUAUUAAAAUACAAAAUUAACUAUGAGCGUCGAAGCUCGACCAUCAACUAAAAACAAAGAGGAGGGUUACUGUGGCAACGAGCUGUCCGCCUAUCUGUCGCAGGGGUUUCCGAUUGAACGCUUUGCCCCGUCCGUCGAGUUGUAA